rnacentral:rRNA from 1 species
UUAGGUUAGAGGAGAAAGAGGGGUGGUGGAAAACUAAGAUAGGCUAAGUCGACGGGGGGCUCGAAAGGGCGAAGAAGAAGCUCUAAAGUCGCAUUUCAACGCGGAGACGCAGUGGGGAAAACGGAAAAAUGAAACAUCUCAGUAUCAAAGUGGCGUAAGAAAUCAAACGAGAUUCCGUAAGUAGUGGUGAGCGAAAGUGGAAAAGUUCAAUGGGUUGAUAAGAACACAUGACUCUAGAGGGUGAGUCCAUAGUGAAAAAAGGUGUUCACAUAUCUAAAACUAAAGGUUAGUCUUAUACUGAAAGGGGGAGUACUGUAAAGGAAAGUUGAAAGAGGUUUGAAAAGAUCUGGAAAUCUGUUCUUAAAGCAGCUGUAGGACAGCGUACCUUUUGCAUAAUGGGUUCAUAAGAUAUGGUUUGGCAAAUUUAAAUUAACUCUUUGAAGAUAAGUGUGUUAGGCAGGGGAAUAGAAUGAAGGUAAAGGGAAGUCAAGCGGGUUCUUUUCAGUCAAAUUACCCGAAACCAAGUGAUCUAGUCAUGGGCUGUUUUAGGAACGAACCGGUGGUUGUAGCAAAAACCUCGGAGGACUUGUGACUGGGGGCGAAAGGCCAAUCGAACUUGGAGAUAGCUGGUUUUCUGCGAAAACUAUUGAGGUAGUGUGUUCACAAUUUUUUUUUUUGGGGGGGGGGGGUUGAGUUAGUUGGACGAACCUUCCUCAUACUAGAGUCUAUUGUUAGUAAAGUUUGAUCGCCUGAGGGGGGGGGAUAGGUUAUGAAGGCAAAAUCGAAGUGGACAGACAGACAGCGGGCAAGAAGGUUCGUUGUCAAAAGGGGGGAGCCCUAAUCAGAAGUUAAAGUCAUAAAUCGAUCGGAGAGGUCUCCAAAUAGUUAAGUGUAAAAGGAGUGUGGGAUUUAGAUAAUGAGGAGGUAGGCUUGGAGCCAGCCAUCUUUGAGAGAGCGCGUAGUUGUUCACUCAAGAACUCUUUUUUUCCUAAAAUUACGGUGGCUAAAAAUUGAACUGAAAUUUUGAGGGCAAAGUUUGCUUGGUAGUAGAACAGACUGGGGGUGGUUUAGUGAGAGCCAAAUGUCAGAAGAGAUAAUGUGAACAUGAGUAAAAAAAAUCGUUGACUCAUCUCUCGGGCUUUCCAAGUUUUAGGGCUUGGGUAAUGCAGUCCCUAAGGGGUGGCCAAAGGUUGUCUCGAUGGGUGAUAAUAAUAAACGCAUAGAGUGCCAGGAAAUAAUUUUUAAAAGUCGGUACUGUCGUAGACUAACACAAGUGGGGGAUAGUGAGGGGGAAAGUUUUUUUAAGGAACUCGGCUGGUUUUCAGCUCUCAUUAGGGAGUUUUAUAACACAAGGCCUCGACUGUUUACCAAAAACAUAGCUCUUUGCUAAUAUGAAAGUAGAAGUAUGGAGGGUGAGACCUGCCCAAUGGUUGUAUCAAAAAAGGGUUGGUAGAGCCRGCUUUACAAAGACAAUUGAAUGGCCGCGGUAACACUGACCGUGAUAAUGUAGCGUAAUCAAUAGUCAAUUAAUUGUUGGCCGGUAUGAAUGGUGUUACGAAGGUCUUACUGUCUUAAGAAAAUUCUCAGCGAAAUUGAAUUUGUAGUGAAGAUGCUACAUCCAAAUUGUUAGACGAGAAGUCCCUAUGGAACUUUACUGGAGACUUAUGUGGCUUUAACUUGUGACUUACAAAUAGAUAGGUUAUACUCUGUGGCGACAGUCGUUUUAUCUAAAGACCAGCCCUCUGAUUGACUCUUUGGGGUGGUCUUUGGGCUAGGUUGGUAAAGCCCACUCUUCUAUUUUAAGAAAGCAGCAACUUUUCUAAAAGUUUGUGCGGUAAGAGUUAUGUUGUUUGGUAAGUUAGACAGUUUGGUUGGGGCGACUGCCUUUUAAAGAGUAACGAAGGCGGGCUUAAGAUACAUAUCAACAACUGUUGUCUGACUGCGAAGGGGAAGGCCCUGAGCAGACACUAGGUAGUGGUGGGUUAUAGUGACACGUUAAUUUAAGGUGAAAUAGUUAACGAUAAACAAAUAAAAGUUACCCUGGGGAUAACAGCGCAAUAACGUUAGAGAUUUUCAUUGACGACGAUGUUUGCGACCUCGAUGUUGAAUUGCGGCAUCCUGGGGUGCAGUUGCUCCCAAGGGUUGGUCUGUUCGUCCAUUAAAGCCGUACAUGAUUUGAGUUAAAAGCGUGGUGACACAGCUUGGUUUCUAUCUACAAUUUGAAGAAACAUUGUUAUAACUAUUUUCUAGUACGAAAGGAUCGAAAAAUUAGUGGUUCUCUUAUUUUUAUAAGUUACAAUCGACCUAUUGGCUCGGAUAAUCAUGAAAGGGUCUUUUUGUUAAUUGCUGAUCGCUUCUAAAGUGUGAAAAUUAUAUUAAAUUGUUUGAAGUCCUGUAGAG